GAGUUACAGAUGGAGGGAAAGGGAGAAAGGUCUUUCAUCCUCUGAUUCACUCCCCAAAUACCCAGGAUCCUCUUCCAGGUCUCCCAUGUGGGUGCAGGGUCCUAAGCACUUGGGCCAUCCUCCACUGCUUUCUCAGGUCCUUAGCAGGGAGCUGGAUUGGAAGUGGAGCAGCCAGGACAUGAACUGGUGCCCAUAUGCGUUACCGGUGCUGCAGGCAAUGGCUUAACCUAGUACGCCACAGUGCCAACACCCAGGUGGUAAUUCUUAAAAAUAAGAUUUAUUUAUUUUUAAGUAAGAUUUAUUUGUUUAUUUAUUUACUUUUUAAUAAGAUUUUUUUAUCUGAUAGGCAGAGUUAUCGAAGGAAGAGAGAGAGAGAGAGAGAGAGAGAGAGAGAGAGAAUUUUAAAGCUAGGAACCAGGAGCUCUGUCUGGGUCUCCCACAUCAUGGGUGGCAGGGGCCCAGUACUUGAGCCAUCUCCUGCUGCUUUUCCAGGUGCAUUAGUAGCAGGGAACUGGAUCGGAAGCAGAGCAGCCAGGACUCAAACCAGCUCCCAUAGUGGGUUCUAUCAUUGCAGACAGUGGCUUAACCAGCUGCGCCACAGUGCUGGCCCCCAUAGGUGGUGGUUCUAACAAGUUGCUUGAGAUGGAGUGUGGACUAAUGUGAGCAUGAGAAACUAGGGGCCAGUAGUACUGGAGGCUCCCAAACUUUCAUGGGCUUUCCCUCCAGGAGCCUUUAGAUUCUCAUGUGUGCCCCCAUAAAUCCUCUGGGGCCAGGGCUUCAAGGGAAUAGACUGGGAACGCUGUAGUUGGAGAAGGGUGUAGGAGAGGCUGGAUGGACUUCCCAGACUGCUGUAGGUGGAGAGAGAUGUAAGGCGCUGAUGGUGGUGGUGGUGUGUAUGUGUGUGUGUGUGGUAAUCUACCAUGAAGAAACACGUGUGGAAGUCAAUUCCAAGACCCAGGUACCUAAAGGCUGGUUUUAUUUAUUUAGAAAAGAUUUUAAACACUAUUUAUCUCAGAGGUAUAAGGAGAAGGAUAGGGAGAGUAUGAGAACCUCCCAUCCCCUGGUGUGUUCCAUAAAGACUUGCGAUGACCAGGAAGCCGGGAGCUCCACCUGCAUUUCCUACAUGGACGGCAGGAACGCGACUCCUUGAACCAUCACUGCUGCCUCCCAGCUGUGUACUAGUGUGACGCUGGAACUGGAAGUCGAGCCCGGCUUGAACCCAGGCAUGGGAUGUGGGCGUCCCAAGCAGUGUCUUAACUGCUGGGCUGAACGCUCAGUUCCUAAAAGGUUGCGUUUUAAUCAGGAGAUUAUCAAAUGCUCUCCCUCCCUGAUACCUUACCACUACAUCAAUACUCUGCAGAGUAACAGUAGCUUGCAGCUGACAGCACAGCAGGAUUUCAGGAGAGCACACAGACAGCUAAAGUCAAGAGAGGGCGUGGAAAGAGGGACAUGACUGUCAGCUGAUGGUUGGACAGAGGAAGUGUGGGCGUACACACAGUGGACUACUGUUCAGUCCAAAAAUGAAUGAAAUCCUGUCUUUUGCAACAAAAUGAAUGAAUGCAUGUGGUGAAAUGAGCAGACUCAAAAAGACAAAUAUCACAUAUUUUCUCUGAUUUGCGGUAGCUAAUUACAGAGUACAGAAAAAAAAUCCUAAUGAGAGAAACUGACAUCUUGGGAUUUGAUUAUUGUCUAUAACCCUUGUCUAUAUUCCUGCACAAUAGUGGUGUUUCUACUGUUUGCUUGUUGAACACUUUAUUUAGUGGAGGAUCAAGACUGUGAUUAUAAAAUAAAUUAAAAAUGCAGUGCA
ensembl:lncRNA